CUACGGGCCGCUCCAGUGGGGAAUAUUGCACAAUGGGCGCAAGCCUGAUGCAGCCAUGCCGCGUGUAUGAAGAAGGCCUUCGGGUUGUAAAGUACUUUCAGCGGGGAGGAAGGGAGUAAAGUUAAUACCUUUGCUCAUUGACGUUACCCGCAGAAGAAGCACCGGCUAACUCCGUGCCAGCAGCCGCGGUAAUUACGGAGGGUGCAAGCGUUAAUCGGAAUUACUGGGCGUAAAGCGCACGCAGGCGGUUUGUUAAGUCAGAUGUGAAAUCCCCGGGCUCAACCUGGGAACUGCAUCUGAUACUGGCAAGCUUGAGUCUCGUAGAGGGGGGUAGAAUUCCAGGUGUAGCGGUGAAAUGCGUAGAGAUCUGGAGGAAUACCGGUGGCGAAGGCGGCCCCCUGGACGAAGACUGACGCUCAGGUGCGAAAGCGUGGGGAGCAAACAGGAUUAGAUACCCGGGUAGUC
rnacentral:rRNA from 1 species